rnacentral:rRNA from 1 species
GAUGAACGCUAGCUACAGGCUUAACACAUGCAAGUCGAGGGGCAGCAUUUUAGUUUGCUUGCAAACUGAAGAUGGCGACCGGCGCACGGGUGAGUAACACGUAUCCAACCUGCCGAUAACUCCGGGAUAGCCUUUCGAAAGAAAGAUUAAUACCGGAUAGUAUACGAAUAUCGCAUGAUAUUUUUAUUAAAGAAUUUCGGUUAUCGAUGGGGAUGCGUUCCAUUAGUUUGUUGGCGGGGUAACGGCCCACCAAGACUACGAUGGAUAGGGGUUCUGAGAGGAAGGUCCCCCACAUUGGAACUGAGACACGGUCCAAACUCCUACGGGAGGCAGCAGUGAGGAAUAUUGGUCAAUGGGCGCGAGCCUGAACCAGCCAAGUAGCGUGAAGGAUGAAGGCUCUAUGGGUCGUAAACUUCUUUUAUAUGGGAAUAAAGUUUUCCACGUGUGGAAUUUUGUAUGUACCAUAUGAAUAAGGAUCGGCUAACUCCGUGCCAGCAGCCGCGGUAAUACGGAGGAUCCGAGCGUUAUCCGGAUUUAUUGGGUUUAAAGGGAGCGUAGGUGGAUUGUUAAGUCAGUUGUGAAAGUUUGCGGCUCAACCGUAAAAUUGCAGUUGAAACUGGCAGUCUUGAGUACAGUAGAGGUGGGCGGAAUUCGUGGGUGUAGCGGUGAAAUGCUUAGAUAUCACGAAGAACUCCGAUUGCGAAGGCAGCUCACUAGACUGUCACUGACACUGAUGCUCGAAAGUGUGGGUAUCAAACAGGAUUAGAUACCCUGGUAGUCCACACAGUAAACGAUGAAUACUCGCUGUUUGCGAUAUACAGUAAGCGGCCAAGCGAAAGCAUUAAGUAUUCCACCUGGGGAGUACGCCGGCAACGGUGAAACUCAAAGGAAUUGACGGGGGCCCGCACAAGCGGAGGAACAUGUGGUUUAAUUCGAUGAUACGCGAGGAACCUUACCCGGGCUUAAAUUGCAACAGAAUAUAUUGGAAACAGUAUAGCCGUAAGGCUGUUGUGAAGGUGCUGCAUGGUUGUCGUCAGCUCGUGCCGUGAGGUGUCGGCUUAAGUGCCAUAACGAGCGCAACCCUUAUCUUUAGUUACUAACAGGUUAUGCUGAGGACUCUAGAGAGACUGCCGUCGUAAGAUGUGAGGAAGGUGGGGAUGACGUCAAAUCAGCACGGCCCUUACGUCCGGGGCUACACACGUGUUACAAUGGGGGGUACAGAAGGCGGCUACCUGGUGACAGGAUGCUAAUCCCAAAAACCUCUCUCAGUUCGGAUCGAAGUCUGCAACCCGACUUCGUGAAGCUGGAUUCGCUAGUAAUCGCGCAUCAGCCAUGGCGCGGUGAAUACGUUCCCGGGCCU